UGGCGAACGGGUGAGUAAUACAUAAGUAACCUGGCAUCUACAGGGGGAUAACUGAUGGAAACGUCAGCUAAGACCGCAUAGGUGUAGAGAUCGCAUGAACUCUAUAUGAAAAGUGCUACGGGACUGGUAGAUGAUGGACUUAUGGCGCAUUAGCUGGUUGGUAGGGUAACGGCCUACCAAGGCGACGAUGCGUAGCCGACCUGAGAGGGUGACCGGCCACACUGGGGACUGAGACACGGCCCAGACUCCUACGGGAGGCAGCAGUAGGGAAUUUUCGGCAAUGGGGGAAACCCUGACCGAGCAACGCCGCGUGAAGGAAGAAGUAAUUCGUUAUGUAAACUUCUGUCAUAGAGGAAGAACGGUGGAUAUAGGGAAUGAUAUCCAAGUGACGGUACUCUAUAAGAAAGCCAACGGCUAACUACGUGCCAGCAGCCGCGGUAAUACGUAGGUGGCGAGCGUUAUCCGGAAUUAUUGGGCGUAAAGAGGGAGCGAGGCGGCACUAAGGGUCUGUGGUGAAAGA
rnacentral:rRNA from 1 species